GGAUUCCCUCAGUAACGGCGAGUGAAGAGGGAAGAGCCCAGCACCGAAGCCUGUGGUUGUUUGACUACUAGGCAAUGUGGUGUUUAGGUUGGUUUUGCGGAGUCAUUGCUCUACUCUAAGUCCAGUUAUGAAUACGGCUCAUUGACAUGGCCCACAGAGGGUGAAAGGCCCGUGUGAGUAGAGACUUCGGCGGUGACUUCCUGAGCUGACCUUGGAGUCGGGUUGUUUGAGAAUGCAGCCCAAAGUGGGUGGUAAACUCCAUCCAAGGCUCAAUACUUGCACGAGUCCGAUAGCGAACAAGUACCGUGAGGGAAAGUUGAAAAGUACUCUGAAGAGAGAGUAAACAGUACGUGAAACCGCUCAGAGGUAAACGGGUAGAGUUGAACUGCGAGCCUCGGAGAUUCAGCUAACGAGUUUGGCUUGAACUUGGUCAUAUUGAUCUGGCUUGAAGGUCUGCUCAGCCGCAGGUAGCUGCUUCGGUGGCUAUUCGCGUUACACUUGUCAAGUGUUGCGAGCCUUCUGGUCGGAGGUCAGCUCGUUAGUGCACUUUUUCGAGGUGUUCACCACGACCGACGCUGCUGUCCGCUUGCUGUAGCUAAACCUGAUGGGCUCAGUCCUUGCGACUUUGUCUUGAUGGGAUGGCAGGUAGCUUGGUAGUCUUCGGGCUUCCGAGUGUAAUAGCCGGCUAUGAUGAGUCUGUGCAGUGCGUCGGAGACAGCGGCUGUUGGUGGCGUGAAUGCUGGUNUUGUUGCCGAUGUCAGGCUUGGUUGUCAUGUGCUGGCGUAAGCUGGCCU
rnacentral:rRNA from 1 species